rnacentral:rRNA from 1 species
AUGCGGCCGGUCAGCAUGCUGCAAAUGUGGACGGCAUUGACGACCAUGCUGCUGCUCCUUGCAGCAGCGGUUGCGGCAGCUACCGGCGCGACGACUCAUGGUGGGUGUCUGCCGAGCUGCGGCGGCGUGGACAUCCCCUACCCCUUUGGCAUCGGCCCUGGCUGCUUCCGCGAAGGCUUCGAGGUCGAGUGCAUCAACAGUGGCCCUGUGCUUGCCGGUACGCCCCUUCGGGUGGUGCAGCUGACAUUGGAUCCAGACGAGUCGCAGGUGAUGCUCCCCAUCGGGUGGCAAUGCUACAACGUCUCCGACCCAGACGACACCUACAAGUGGGACUAUGGAAAUACGACGAUGAACAAGGAUGGCGUGUACCGCAUCUCCAACACGCACAACAUGCUCGUUGUCGUCGGCUGCAACACUGUCGGCUACGUGGCCAGCAAGAGGACCGAGGGUGGCGCAGACGCCAACGCCUUCAACACCGGGUGCAUGUCCUACUGCAACAACUCGGCGAGCGCGCAGGACGGCCUCUGCGACGGCGUCGGAUGCUGCCACGUCAGCAUCCCGCCGGGACUCACCGACAACUACUUCAACUUCCGGGAGUAUGACCACUCCACCAUGAUGGAGUACAGCCCGUGUGACUACGCCUUCCUCGUCGACAGGAACAACUACACCUUCCGCCGGUCCGACCUCAAGAUGAACACGAAACGGACCUCGCCGGUGUGGCUGGACUGGGCCAUUCGCGGUAACAGCUCCAUCUCCGGUGACAUACCUUCGUGCAAACAAGCGUCCAAGACGGACCAGUACGCCUGUGUCAGCACUCACAGCGACUGCGUCGACUCCACCAAUGGGCCUGGCUACAACUGCAAGUGCUCCAGUGGCUACCAGGGCGACGCCUACUUGCCCAACGGAUGCACAAACAUAAAUGAAUGCGCAAAUCCAGCUAAGUAUAGUUGCUACGGUGUAUGCUCAGACAUCGAAGGAGGGUACAAAUGUGACUGUCCUGCAGGUUAUCAGAGCCGUUACCCAAGAACUGAACGAUGCACUCAAAAGUUCCCACUUGCAGCACAGAUUUCCGUAGGUGCAAUAGGUGGCAUUCUUGUCUUGGCAUUUCUGGCAUUCUUUUUUGUUCUUCGCAAAGAGAAGCAGAGGGCCAGAGACUUUUACCGAAAGAAUGGUGGUCUUACAUUAGAGAAGGCUAGAACUAUUAAGAUUUACACAAGGGGGGAUCUCAAACCAGUUUUAAAGAGUACCAAUGUAAUUGGUAAAGGUGGCUUCGGUGAAGUUUACAAGGGUGUUGUUGAUGGAGUUAUCGUCGCAGUAAAGAAACCAAAUGGUCGUAGUGUGCUAGAGAAGGAGCAGUUUCCAAAUGAAGUCACCAUCCUGUCUCAAGUCAGCCACAAGAACAUCGUAAGGCUUCUAGGUUGUUGCCUCGAAGUGGAUAACCCCAUGCUAGUCUAUGAAUUCAUCUCCAAAGGAAGCUUGGAGGACAAUCUUCAUAGAGCUGACAACAAGGAGCUUCUUGACUUGGAUGUACGUCUAUGUAUUCUUGAAGACUCAGCACAUGGUCUAGCUUAUAUGCACUCACAAACCCAUAACACAAUACUGCAUGGUGAUGUUAAACCAGCAAACAUACUCUUGGAUGAGAACUUCUCCCCGAAGAUCGCGGAUUUUGGCAUAUCGAGGUUGAUUGCACAAGGCAAGGACCAUACUAGAAACAUCAUAGGCGACAUGUCUUACAUGGACCCCGUGUACCUACAAACAGGUCGAUUGACCGACAAAAGUGAUGUCUACAGCUUUGGGGUUGUCAUCUUAGAGCUCAUUAGCAGGAAGAGGGCUACUCAUUCUGAUAAUAAUAGCCUAGUGAGGAGCUUCCUAGAGUGUCACCAAACUGGGGAGAGCAUGACUGAGCUCUUCGAUAAGGAAAUUGCAACAACAGGAGAUUUGGAACUUCUUAACAAGUUGGUACAGAUUGCUGUUGAGUGUCUUAACCUUGAAGCAGAUCAAAGACCAUCAAUGACAGAUGUUGCAGGGCGCCUUGUCACGCUGCAUAGGUCCCGUAAUCCUUAG